UGGGGAAUUUUGGACAAUGGGCGAAAGCCUGAUCCAGCAAUGCCGCGUGUGUGAAGAAGGCCUUCGGGUUGUAAAGCACUUUUGCCCGGAAAGAAAUCCUUGGCUCUAAUACAGUCGGGGGAUGACGGUACCGGAAGAAUAAGCACCGGCUAACUACGUGCCAGCAGCCGCGGUAAUACGUAGGGUGCAAGCGUUAAUCGGAAUUACUGGGCGUAAAGCGUGCGCAGGCGGUUUGCUAAGACCGAUGUGAAAUCCCCGGGCUCAACCUGGGAACUGCAUUGGUGACUGGCAGGCUAGAGUAUGGCAGAGGGGGGUAGAAUUCCACGUGUAGCAGUGAAAUGCGUAGAGAUGUGGAGGAAUACCGAUGGCGAAGGCAGCCCCCUGGGCCAAUACUGACGCUCAUGCACGAAAGCGUGGGGAGCAAACAGGAUUAGAUACCCUGGUAGUCCACGCCCUAAAACGAUGUCAACUAGUUGUUGGGGAUUCAUUUCCUUAGUAACGUAGCUAACGCGUGAAGUUGACCGCCUGGGGAGUACGGUCGCAAGAUUAAAACUCAAAUGAAUUGACGGGGUCAUAGCUGUUUCCU
rnacentral:rRNA from 1 species